UACGUAGGGGGCUAGCGUUGUCCGGAUUUAUUGGGCGUAAAGAGCGUGUAGGCGGCCAGAUAGGUCUGCUGUGAAAACUCGAGGCUCAACCUCGAGAUGUCGGCGGAAACCAUUUGGCUAGAGUCCGGAAGAGGAAAGUGGAAUUCCUGGUGUAGCGGUGAAAUGCGUAGAUAUCAAGAGGAACACCUGAGGUGAAGACGGGUUGCUGGGCUGACACUGACGCUGAGGCGCGAAAGCCAGGGGAGCAAACGGG
rnacentral:rRNA from 1 species